UACGAGGGGUGCAAGCGUUGCUCGGAAUUAUUGGGCGUAAAGGGUAGGUAGGUGGUCUCAUUUGUCUGGGGUGAAAGCCUCGAGCUUAACUCGAGAAGUGCCUCGGAAACGGUGAGACUAGAGUCUUGGAGAGGGUCGUGGAAUUCCCGGUGUAGCGGUGAAAUGCGUAGAGAUCGGGAGGAACACCAGCGGCGAAGGCGGCGACCUGGACAAGUACUGACACUCAACUGCGAAGGCGUGGGGAGCAAACAGG
rnacentral:rRNA from 1 species